rnacentral:rRNA from 1 species
CCUACUGGUGGCAGCAGUGAGGCAUAUUGGUCAAUGGGCGCGAGCCUGAACCAGCCAAGUCGCGUGAGGGAUGACUGUCCUAUGGAUUGUCAACCUCUUUUAUAAGGGAAGAAUACUGCCUACGUGUACUCGAGUCCCGUUACCUUAUUAAUAAACAUCGGCUAACUCCGUGCCAACAGCCUCGGUAAUACGGAGGAUGCGGGGGUUAUCCGGAUUUAUUUGGGUUAAAGGGUGCGUAGGCGGUGUUUUAAGUUAGUGGUAAAACGGCGGGGCUUCAACCUGAUUGGCCAUUAAAACUGGCGUACUAGAGUAGAGACGAGGUAGGCGGAAGAAGUGAAGUAGCGGUGAAAUGCUUAGAUAUAACGUAGAACACCGAUAGCGAAGGCAGCUUACCAGACUGUUACUGACGCUGAAGCACGAGAGCGUGGGUAGCGAACAGGAUUAGAUACCCGUGUAGUC